UUCGACACACUAUCAUUAACUGAAUCCAUAGGUUAAUGAGGCGAACCGGGGGAACUGAAACAUCUAAGUACCCCGAGGAAAAGAAAUCAACCGAGAUUCCCCCAGUAGCGGCGAGCGAACGGGGAGGAGCCCAGAGCCUGAAUCAGUGUGUGUGUUAGUGGAAGCGUCUGGAAAGGCGCGCGAUACAGGGUGACAGCCCCGUACACAAAAAUGCACAUAUUGUGAGCUCGAUGAGUAGGGCGGGACACGUGGUAUCCUGUCUGAAUAUGGGGGGACCAUCCUCCAAGGCUAAAUACUCCUGACUGACCGAUAGUGAACCAGUACCGUGAGGGAAAGGCGAAAAGAACCCCGGCGAGGGGAGUGAAAAAGAACCUGAAACCGUGUACGUACAAGCAGUGGGAGCCUCUUAAUGGGGUGACUGCGUACCUUUUGUAUAAUGGGUCAGCGACUUAUAUUCUGUAGCAAGGUUAACCGAAUAGGGGAGCCGAAGGGAAACCGAGUCUUAACUGGGCGUUAAGUUGCAGGGUAUAGACCCGAAACCCGGUGAUCUAGCCAUGGGCAGGUUGAAGGUUGGGUAACACUAACUGGAGGACCGAACCGACUAAUGUUGAAAAAUUAGCGGAUGACUUGUGGCUGGGGGUGAAAGGCCAAUCAAACCGGGAGAUAGCUGGUUCUCCCCGAAAGCUAUUUAGGUAGCGCCUCGUGAAUUCAUCUCCGGGGGUAGAGCACUGUUUCGGCAAGGGGGUCAUCCCGACUUACCAACCCGAUGCAAACUGCGAAUACCGGAGAAUGUUAUCACGGGAGACACACGGCGGGUGCUAACGUCCGUCGUGAAGAGGGAAACAACCCAGACCGCCAGCUAAGGUCCCAAAGUCAUGGUUAAGUGGGAAACGAUGUGGGAAGGCCCAGACAGCCAGGAUGUUGGCUUAGAAGCAGCCAUCAUUUAAAGAAAGCGUAAUAGCUCACUGGUCGAGUCGGCCUGCGCGGAAGAUGUAACGGGGCUAAACCAUGCACCGAAGCUGCGGCAGCGACACUAUGUGUUGUUGGGUAGGGGAGCGUUCUGUAAGCCUGUGAAGGUGGCCUGUGAGGGUUGCUGGAGGUAUCAGAAGUGCGAAUGCUGACAUAAGUAACGAUAAAGCGGGUGAAAAGCCCGCUCGCCGGAAGACCAAGGGUUCCUGUCCAACGUUAAUCGGGGCAGGGUGAGUCGACCCCUAAGGCGAGGCCGAAAGGCGUAGUCGAUGGGAAACAGGUUAAUAUUCCUGUACUUGGUGUUACUGCGAAGGGGGGACGGAGAAGGCUAUGUUGGCCGGGCGACGGUUGUCCCGGUUUAAGCGUGUAGGCUGGUUUUCCAGGCAAAUCCGGAAAAUCAAGGCUGAGGCGUGAUGACGAGGCACUACGGUGCUGAAGCGACAAAUGCCCUGCUUCCAGGAAAAGCCUCUAAGCAUCAGGUAACAUCAAAUCGUACCCCAAACCGACACAGGUGGUCAGGUAGAGAAUACCAAGGCGCUUGAGAGAACUCGGGUGAAGGAACUAGGCAAAAUGGUGCCGUAACUUCGGGAGAAGGCACGCUGAUAUGUAGGUGAAGCGACUUGCUCGUGGAGCUGAAAUCAGUCGAAGAUACCAGCUGGCUGCAACUGUUUAUUAAAAACACAGCACUGUGCAAACACGAAAGUGGACGUAUACGGUGUGACGCCUGCCCGGUGCCGGAAGGUUAAUUGAUGGGGUUAGCGGUAA
rnacentral:rRNA from 1 species